rnacentral:rRNA from 1 species
GUGCCAGCCGCCGCGGUAAUACGUAGGGGGCGAGCGUUACCCGGAUUUACUGGGCGUAAAGGGGGCGUAGGCGGCCGUGAAAGUCCGGUGUGAAAACUCACGGCUCAACCGUGGGACUGCGCUGGAAACUACACGGCUUGAGGACGGUAGAGGGAGACGGAACUGCUGGUGUAGGGGCGAAAUCCGUAGAUAUCAGCAGGAACGCCGGUGGAGAAGUCGGUCUCCUGGGCCGUUCCUGACGCUGAGGCCCGAAAGCUAGGGGAGCAAACCGGAUUAGAUACCCGGGUAGUCCUAGCCGUAAACGAUGCCCACUAGGUGUGGGGGAGUAAUUCCUCCGUGCUGAAGCUAACGCGCUAAGUGAGCCGCCUGGGGAGUAUGCCCGCAAGGGUGAAACUCAAAGGAAUUGACGGGG